GAUGAACGCUGACAGAAUGCUUAACACAUGCAAGUCCACUUGAACUUCGGUUUGGGUGGCGGACGAGUGAGUAACGCGUAAAGAACUUGCCUCACGGCUAGGGACAACAUUUGGAAACGAAUGCUAAUACCUGAUAUUAUGAUUAUAUGGCAUCGUAUAAUUAUGAAAGCUAUAUGCGCUGUGAGAGAGCUUUGCGUCCCAUUAGCUAGUUGGAGAGGUAACAGCUCACCAAGGCGAUGAUGGGUAGCCGGCCUGAGAGGGUGAUCGGCCACAAGGGGACUGAGACACGGCCCUUACUCCUACGGGAGGCAGCAGUGGGGAAUAUUGGACAAUGGACCGAGAGUCUGAUCCAGCAAUUCUGUGUGCACGAUGAAGUUUUUCGGAAUGUAAAGUGCUUUCAGUUGGGAAGAAAAAAAUGACGGUACCAACAGAAGAAGUGACGGCUAAAUACGU
rnacentral:rRNA from 1 species